rnacentral:misc_RNA from 1 species
AACGCACCUUGCGCCUCUUGGUAUUCCGAGAGGCAUGCCUGUUUGAGUGUCAUGAAACCUCAAUCCCCAGGGUUUUCCGACCAUGGGUGAUUGGAUCUGGGCGUCUGCCGGUCUCCCGGCUCGCCUCAAAUGCAUCAGUGGCUCCCUCUGACCCAUGCCUGACGUGAUAAGUUUCGUCUGCGCCGGUCCCUGGGUCCGCUCACAACGCACCGUACACCUUUUGACAUUGACCUCAAAUCAGGUAGGGCUACCCGCUGAACUUAA